CGUCUCAGUUCGGAUUGUAGUCUGCAACUCGACUACAUGAAGCUGGAAUCGCUAGUAAUCGCGAAUCAGAAUGUCGCGGUGAAUACGUUCCCGGGUCUUGUACACACCGCCCGUCACACCAUGGAAGUCUGCAAUGCCCGAAGCCGGUGGCCUAACCACUUAUGUGGAAGGAGCCGUCUAAGGCAGGUCUGAUAACUGGGGUGAAGUCGUAACAAGGUAGC
rnacentral:rRNA from 1 species